rnacentral:snoRNA from 1 species
CAUAGUACAUAUGAAAUGUACUAUUUAAUAUAAAAAAGAAAUGUUAUCAAAAAGAAGCCCAGAGUGACAGUUUUCCUCGAUGUUUGCCAAUCUGUUUGCUGUAAAAGAUCUGUAACAUUUUAGGAAUAUAUCAAA